AAAAUAGUAUUACUUUCAUAUUGUUUUCUUCUGUUGUAAAUGUUUUUCACCAAGAAAAGAGGAUCUUAUUGUUGCAAGUGUAGAAUGGAUGUGUAAUCCAGAACACAAUCUUGCCAGCCAUUCAAGUGAAAAUUAUUUAUGUUUAGAUGAUUUUCAACAAAAUUAUCACUCAAAUAAAAUUAAGCUUUCUACAGACUGUGGUGGGAUUGCUAAAAAUCGGAAAAUGAGUGUGUCAUUUCAAAAUAAUAAUAAACAAAAGACGAAUUUAUUGGAAUCGGCUUUCGUAACGCUCAGUAAACAACAGAGAGAGAUGAAAUGUCAGUCGGCUGAAAAAUAAUAACGUCAACCGCAGAGAACAUACAUACUGGAUUUGUGAUGCUUGUGAUGAUUUUAAAUAGAUUAAAUAUAUGAAAGAUUUACUUUAUAAAAGUAAUAGUUAAUAA